GACGGAGGAUGCAAGCGUUAUCCGGAAUGAUUGGGCGUAAAGCGUCCGCAGGUGGCAGUUCAAGUCUGCUGUCAAAGACCGGGGCUUAACUUCGGAAAGGCAGUGGAAACUGAACAGCUAGAGUAUGGUAGGGGCAGAGGGAAUUCCUGGUGUAGCGGUGAAAUGCGUAGAGAUCAGGGAGAACAUCGGUGGCGAAGGCGCUCUGCUGGACCAUAACUGACACUCAGGGACGAAAGCUAGGGGAGCGAAUGGG
rnacentral:rRNA from 1 species